CAACCCUCAAGCUCUGCUUGGUCUUGGGCACCACCGGCUCCGGUGCGCCCUAAAAUCAGUGGCGGUGCCGUCUGGCUCUAAGCGUAGUAAAUCUCUCGCUAUAGGUGCCCGGCGGAUGCUGGCCAGCAACCCCCCAUUCUAUCAA
rnacentral:misc_RNA from 1 species